UGUCCAGGGGACAUCCGUACUAAGUCCCGAACGUCGCAAAUAUCCGAAUAUCCCGGUGACGUCCUACGGAUAUCACAAAGCGACAUUCGCGUAGGGGAAUGUCCAGUCUAUGUCCGAAGCUGGACGUGCCGUGGAUAUUCGUUUGAUACUUUCCUAGCACCGCAUAUAUUUCUCUAAUGUGGAAAAGUUGGUGUGCUUUUGUUCCCUUUUUUGGCAGAGCAAUAUAAGAAGUCAUAACUAUGCGGGGGAGAUAUAUUUAUUCGAACAAAGAAAAAGGAUGGAAGGGGUCUUAAAUAUAUUUUCGUUCGUGCUUAUAUCCGUGCACGUUUCAAAUGCGCGAGCACGAACUUCGUUAUCAAUUCAAAGCCACACCUCUCAAGAACGUUUGCCUAAUUCUGUCGUUGUUUUAUUAUUCCAACACAAAAAUCAAGGCAUGAGACGGUCAACCAUAUCUCGCACUGGUUCAAUAACCUAGUGCACUCUCGCGCACACGUUAAACCUAGGGUUCUUCACGCUCACACAAAACUUCAACGCGCGGUUUGAUCUUUGUAGCGGUACAGCACGCAUCACGUUCGUGUGGUAUUGCAUAAAUGUCCUGAGCAGGACUGGAUGGGUAAGAAAUCCUGUUCAUGUUGAAGUUUGGGUAACACGCCGCGAACAACAACUGUAGUACUGGCAACUGGCCGCGGGCAGCCAUCAUAGAUGACGCCAAUGAUGAUCACCACGGACAGUUUGUUUUAAUGCAGCUCGAAAACAGCACUCGUUUUUUAGUACACUCGUACUAAUACAUUUGCGUUCGUGGUUUGAUAGCGGCGAAGAAUUUUAAUGUUGUUCACACUCAUCGCCGUGGCGGCGUCGCGAUCGCUGCUUUCCGCUGCAGGAAUCCCCAAUCGUAUCCAAAGCAAGUCUGUAUUCCUGCAACUUGCGAUACCGAGCUGCCGGCGUCUCGGUUUGAAACGUAAAACGUAAGUACCACUAAAAAGGUGACUGAUUUUCUGUGUGUCAGUAUGAAGACUCAUCGUAGUUUCUUUUGCAGCACCGGUAAAACACUCAUCGUGAAUCAUGAAGCCGGCAAACACUUUGUACGCGAUCGUACACUUUCUGGACCGUGGAGAGGUGGACAUUGUGCCUUGUGCGUGGCUCUGUGGCGACAUGUGUACAUGGCCGUCACUCCCAACGCGAACCGUCGAGAAAAUGAUCAAAAAGGGAGUGCCACCUGGGGACAACUGUACCGAGAUACCUGUUAGUGUGAAGGGCGUGUUUGUGGGCUGGAAUGCAGCCAGGAAGAUGCUGCCCCGCGCAGUGGACAACUCUGACUUAAAUGAUGCAGAUGAGUUGCCUGCGAAACGUGUGAGGCGUCCCAAAGUUAUUGACAGUGACGAUGAUUUCCCCCCUGUGCCUUGCACCUUUCAAUCACAAAGUACGUAUAGGAUUUGCUUUCCAAAAUUGUGUUUCUACUGAACAACAACAACUUAAUUUUUAAUGUUUAUUUGUUACGCCGUUUAGCAACAGACAUGAUUCCCUGUUUACGUUUCCCUAUCGGAAGUAUAGUGAAUGAACGCUAGCUAGCUGAUGCACAUUCACUGCGGAGAAAAUAACAAAGCUUGAUGGCACACAGAACAGGCUGCACAACAUGUGAGCCUGAGGUGUGCAUCGUUCCUCUCCUGUGUCCUUCAAGCUUGAUGGUCAUUUUCUGUGUGGUG